GAAAUGCGAUAAGUAAUGUGAAUUGCAGAAUUCCGUGAAUCAUCGAAUCUUUGAACGCACAUUGCGCCCUCUGGUAUUCCGGGGGGCAUGCCUGUCCGAGCGUCAUUGCAAACCCUCAAGCCCGGCUUGUGUGAUGGGUCCUGCGUCCUCCUUCCGGGGCGGACGGGCCCGAAAUGCAGUGGCGGCGUCGCGGUAAUCCGAUCAGCCAGAGCGUAUGGGGACUCUCUCUCUUGUCACACGCCCGCGGCGCGGACCGACGCCUGUCGACCUUUAUUCAUCUUCUCUCGGUUGACCUCGGAUCAGGUAGGGAUACCCGCUGAACUUAAGC
rnacentral:misc_RNA from 1 species